GAGUUUGAUCAUGGCUCAGGAUGAAUGCUGGCGGCGUGCUUAACACAUGCAAGUCGAACGAACCUUCGGGUUAGUGGCGGACGGGUGAGUAACGCGUGAGAAUCUGCCCUCAGGAGGGGGACAACAGCUGGAAACGGCUGCUAAUACCCCAUAUGCCGCGAGGUGAAAUGAAUUUCGCCUGAGGAUGAGCUCGCGUCUGAUUAGCUAGUUGGUGUAGGUAAUGGCUCACCAAGGCAUCGAUCAGUAGCUGGUCUGAGAGGAUGAUCAGCCACACUGGGACUGAAACACGGCCCAGACUCCUACGGGAGGCAGCAGUGGGGAAUUUUCCGCAAUGGGCGAAAGCCUGACGGAGCAACGCCGCGUGAGGGAUGAAGGCCUCUGGGCUGUAAACCUCUUUUAUCAGGGAAAAAAAUCUGACGGUACUUGAUGAAUAAGCCACGGCUAAUUCCGUGCCAGCAGCCGCGGUAAUACGGGAGUGGCAAGCGUUAUCCGGAAUUAUUGGGCGUAAAGCGUCCGCAGGCGGCCCUUCAAGUCUGCUGUUAAAAAGUGGAGCUUAACUCCAUCAUGGCAGUGGAAACUGUUGGGCUUGAGUGUGGUAGGGGCAGAGGGAAUUCCCGGUGUAGCGGUGAAAUGCGUAGAUAUCGGGAAGAACACCAGUGGCGAAGGCGCUCUGCUGGGCCAUCACUGACGCUCAUGGACGAAAGCCAGGGGAGCGAAAGGGAUUAGAUACCCCUGUAGUCCUGGCCGUAAACGAUGAACACUAGGUGUCGGGGGAAUCGACCCCCUCGGUGUCGUAGCCAACGCGUUAAGUGUUCCGCCUGGGGAGUACGCACGCAAGUGUGAAACUCAAAGGAAUUGACGGGGGCCCGCACAAGCGGUGGAGUAUGUGGUUUAAUUCGAUGCAACGCGAAGAACCUUACCAGGGUUUGACAUCCUGCGAAUCUCUUGGAAACAGGAGAGUGCCUUCGGGAACGCAGUGACAGGUGGUGCAUGGCUGUCGUCAGCUCGUGUCGUGAGAUGUUGGGUUAAGUCCCGCAACGAGCGCAACCCACGUCUUUAGUUGCCAGCAUUUAGUUGGGCACUCUAGAGAGACUGCCGGUGAUAAACCGGAGGAAGGUGUGGAUGACGUCAAGUCAUCAUGCCCCUUACAUCCUGGGCUACACACGUACUACAAUGCUACGGACAAAGGGCAGCAAGUUCGCGAGAACAAGCAAAUCCCAUAAACCGUGGCUCAGUUCAGAUCGUAGGCUGCAACUCGCCUACGUGAAGGCGGAAUCGCUAGUAAUCGCAGGUCAGCAUACUGCGGUGAAUACGU
rnacentral:rRNA from 1 species